CCUGCACUGUGACAGAAUGACUAAAGCAGCAGUGGCCGUCUUAUGGUCCUAAAGGAAAGGAACAUUUCACAUCUACGUCUGCUGUCCCUUGGAUCUGUUCACCCCAGAAGUCGUAAAAGUCAGACUAGAUUCUGUUAUCUGCGGAGGCUGGCCGGACCUGCCAUUCUGCACCUUUGCACCCAGACAUAAAAGGCAGGAGUCAAGGAUCACACACACUGGAGGGUAAGUGACCCCAAACAACCCCAGACUGAUGAAAGCUGUACGUGCAGACGCCAGGAGGGUGGUCAGAGCGCCUCAGAGUGCACAGCCUCUCAGCAGCGGAAGGCUGAAGGGAGGAAGGAGGAGCGGAGAAGAGAGUCAGCUUCAAAGCUGAGGAAAACUGGGACAGAGAUCUCAGAAGGAAGUUUUGGGAGCAUUUAUUGUUAAAAAUUUCCUUAUAAAAUCAAAUUUUAACUCUGCUUUUUGAAUGAAAUCAUUGAUACUGUUUUAACGAAG
rnacentral:lncRNA from 1 species